GACGAACGCUGGCGGCGUGCUUAACACAUGCAAGUCGAACGUGAUUUUUGUGGAAAUUCUUUCGGGAAUGGAAAUGAAAUGAAAGUGGCGAACGGGUGAGUAACACGUGAGCAACCUACCUUACACAGGGGGAUAGCCGUUGGAAACGACGAUUAAUACCGCAUGAGACCACAGAAUCGCAUGAUAUAGGGGUCAAAGAUUUAUCGGUGUAAGAAGGGCUCGCGUCUGAUUAGCUAGUUGGAAGGGUAAAGGCCUACCAAGGCGACGAUCAGUAGCCGGUCUGAGAGGAUGAACGGCCACAUUGGAACUGAGACACGGUCCAAACUCCUACGGGAGGCAGCAGUGGGGAAUAUUGCACAAUGGGGGGAACCCUGAUGCAGCGACGCCGCGUGAGCGAAGAAGGUUUUCGAAUCGUAAAGCUCUGUCCUAUGAGAAGAUAAUGACGGUAUCAUAGGAGGAAGCCCCGGCUAAAUACCUG
rnacentral:rRNA from 1 species